AUCGGUCCUAGCAACACAAGCCUGCUGAGAUAUGAUUAGAUAAAGACUUUACAAUAAUAUACAACACUGGAAGCGGCGAAAUCAAGCGGAAAUAAUGAGACGAAGAAAAUACACCAUGGGGAAUUAUUUUAUUUACAAAAAACAACUUUUCACAGUAUGUUGGGGCUAGCAGAAAAGUUAGCUGCCCCUGGCAACCGUAGUGUCAGUAGUGAAGGACUUCCUCGCUGUCUCCAACGUCUGCGUCUCUCCUGCGUUUUCACGCACGUCCGUGCAUGUGCAUAAAUGCCAUGGAAACCGCUGACGCGAAAUGGGUCGUCAUUUGCCCCAGGGCCUUGUGAAGCUCUGGAGUCGCUUCAAGCGUUGGAGAAACCGGAGGAUCCAGCCGGAGCAGCCGGUGGGCGAAGGUGGUCCAGAUGGGCCUAACGGCGUCCACGUCCAUCCUUCACCCACUCCUCAGGUGGGUGACUCAUACACACCCCAUCCACCUUCUCCUCCACGCUCUCUUGUUUUUUGGUCUGCUGGUCCUUCUGUUUCCCCUUCACCCCCUCCUGUUCCUUGUUGCUUUGAUGUUCUUGCUUUUUCUCCUUCACCCUGUCCUACUCCUUCUUUUUCUUCUUCUUCUUUCUCACUCUCUUCUGCUUCCUCUGGUACUUGGUGCUCUGGCAUCUUUCCCUUUUCUCCUUACCCUUCUCCUACUCCUUCUUCUUCUUCUUCUUCCUCACUCUCUUCUGCUCUCUCUGCUUCUCUGUGCUCUCCUCCUCACUCUCUCAUCUCUCCUUUUUCUUCUUCCCUCGCCCUCCUCUGCUUACUCUGGUACUUGUUGCUCUGCUGUCCUUCCCUUUUCUCCUUCACCCUCUGCUGUUCCUAGUUGUUCUGCUGUCUUUCCUUUUUGUCCUUCACCCUCUCCUACUCCUUCUUCUUCUUCCUCACCCUCUUCUGCUUACUCUUGUCUUUGUUGCUCUGAUGCCCUUCCUUUGUCCCCUUUACCCUCUCCUGUGACGGAGAGAGUGAAGGAGCUCAUCCAGCAGCUCAUCUUCCAGGAGAGGUAAGGAAGACAGUGAUGAGGAGGGGGCUGCUCUUGGAAGACUCAACUGUGGGACACUGUUUCCUACAGUGAAACCAGUCUUGGAUUUGACCCCAGGGCACCUUUUUUGUAGUUUUAUUUCUAUACCAUAAGUUUAAAUGUUCAUUCCAACUUUGAGAACUAGCCUUUGCGUCUGGCUGGGCAGUUUUCAGGUCCCCGGCAGCGUCUGGCUCUGGGACCUUUCUUUCUUUCCUGGAUGAACACAAGUUUAAAUGUUAAUUUUUACCCUGAGAACUAGCCUUUGCGUCUGGCUGGGCGGUUCUCAGGUCCCAGGUAGCGUCUGGCACCUGGGCCAGUUUUUGCUGUUUUUUAUAUUUUAGCAUGGCGGUUG